GCCUCGGUAGCUCAGCCUGGCAGAGCGUCCGCUUGGUAAGCGGAAGGUCGAGGGUUCAACUCCCUCCCGGGGCU
rnacentral:tRNA from 1 species